UGCCAAUGUUCGGAGACCAGAAGCAAUGCCAUUUGCACCAUUUGACGGGCGGCUUGCAGAGGAUACAGAAGACAAUCUGAGGGCUGCACUGAGUGGAACCUUUACUGUUAGCCUACCUUGACUGAAUGAAAAGAAGUUGGAUGAAGAUGUCAGUUGCCAUCCAGUGACUGGAUCCUCAGAUCACUAUGCCCUAUAUGACAAAUUCCACGAGUCUAAUUCUAAGGAUGUGCGAGACUCACUCAGAAAGAUCCAGCUUGUUCCAGAGUUGGCUGGUAGUGUUAACACACAAGCCGCAGAACAGCUUUUUUCUGGAAUGCGGAAGAAUAACUACUUCCUGAAUAUGAUGUGUCCCACAACUCACAUGUUUUUUGUCAGAAAUAUUUUGCACAUUCAGAAUGAGGAGAAAAACAAAUCAAUGCUGAAAAACAUCCAAAAGUCCCACUCAAAAACUACUGUGAAUCUCCAAAAAGAUUCGCCUGGACGUCUGGUUGUAGGCAAUUUCAACAUAUGUAUACUUUGAAUCGUAAAUUUUUAUAUGGCUAUGCACAGUUAAAAUAUGUAAAUUUGUCUUUGUGUCUUUAGAUAAGGAGAACAGGGGUCCUGAAAGAACCAGACUACACCUGAUUAAACCUACUAAAGCUUGCUGGAGCAAGCCACUGAAUCGAUCACAGCGUAAACUGGUGACUCAAGCUAUUUCAGUAAGUAAGGAUGAUGAAGUGGCAUAUGUGGGCUCUACAGUAAUAAAACAGAAAGACUUUACAACUCUGACAGAACUUUCUGAGGUUGAAGGAAGUGUGCUGAAUUCCUGCUUUUGUGUUCUGCAACAGAUUGCCCUCUCACAGAAUGUGGACUUCUAUCCAGUUAACAGCCAUGUCAUUGUGACCUGGUUACCUCCUAUUUGUGCAAAUCCACUGGACAGCUUACCUGUAUGUAUGAUUUAAGUUUUAAGCAGGUCUGGAAUGUCUUCAAUAUGUUGCAUACAUUUAAGUCACUUUUGUGUAAAAUAUUUUCACUAUACAUAUAGCCUGAAAUUAGCAGCAAGGAUGCUGUGGUCUUUCCAUCUUAUGUGCCAGGACACUGGAUGCUGUGUAGAAAUUGCUUUCAGCCUCUGUCCUGGGCCUUGGACUGAGUUCUUCUCUGAGGACCUUGAGGAUGUUCCUCGACAAGAGUUGUCUUGUAGCUGUGGAGUCUUCACACUAAUAUAUGCUCUCUAUAUUACCCUGGGUGGAACGUUUGACUUCUCAGAGUCAGACAUGCCAAGUAUUAGAAGAUGGUGGUCUGCCCUUUUGCUG